AUUUUGUCCCUGUCUCUGUUGGAGGUGGAGAGAAUCAGGUGAAAUAGUGUUUGUGAAAGUGCUUUGGAAACUUAAAGAAGUACCAUACAUGUACGAUAAUGGUUUAUAGGAUCAGCAUGCGUACUUUUCUCCUCCCUCUUCUUCUUGGCCCAAGGGAAGGGACAUGUCUGACCGGUGAGCCACGUCCCUCAUCCAAACCAGUAAGAGGGGUGUGUGUGUGUGUGUGUGUGUGUUUGGGGAGGACGGCAGUAAAGUCCCUGGAUGGAUGGAUGGAUGGAGGAGGGAGCAAGUAGUGACUCCGCUUUAUAGGACGGUGCCCCAGCAGGAGAGGCUAGGUGGGACCUGAUUUAAAUAUUCCCGAGCAGGGGGUCUGUUGUGAAGCGUUAGAGGGUCAGCUGUCCGGACAGGGGAAGCCUGGGACAGGGUGGAGGGCUGGGGAUGAGGACAGCAUCUCGCUGGCUCGCUCCCUCCCUCCCUCCCUCCUUCUCCCCCCCUCCCCUACUGGCCGCAGCUCGGCUCCCUCCGCCCCGCGGGGAGUCCGGCCCCCGCCAGUCUCCGCCCCCCUCCCCAUUCCGGGCUCCUCUUUGAUGCACCGCCGCGGCCCAAUGGGCGCGCGGAGGAGGCGUCGGACUGGGGGCUUAGCGCAAGGAGGCGUCAAUCAGGCAGCCGCGGGGCUGGAGGGAGCUCGUCCUGGUACCGCCUCUAUCUUUGGGAGAAAGAGGGAGAGAGAGGGAGAGGAGAGGAGAGGGCAGGAGAGGAGAGGACAGGAGAGGAGAAGCCGGGCGGGGAGACUGGGCCAAGGGCCGGGACACAUGGAUUAGCCAGGCGCCCUCUCGGGCCGGUGUCCGCCAGCCGCACCAUGGGCAAACUUCACUCCAAACACGGUCAGUGUCUCCCGCAACCCCCGGCCCCCGGCCCCGGGUACUGGGCUCGGGCUCGGGCUGGGGCUCCCUCUCCUCCUCCUUCUCCUCCUCCUCCUCCUCCUCCUCUUCCUUCUCCUUCUCUUCUUCCUCCUCUUCCUCUUCUCCCUGCCCUGCCCUGCCCUGCCCUGCCCCUGCCCAGCCCUGCCCAGCCCAGCCCAGCCCGCCGAGCCGCGAUCGCUAACUCUCUCCCUCUCCCUUUCUUUCCUGCUCCCGCCCGCCGCCUCGGAUCUGCCCAGCUGCCGUGUGUAAGCGCAGGGAGAGCCCCGAAGGUGACAGCUUCGCAGUGA
rnacentral:lncRNA from 1 species